rnacentral:rRNA from 1 species
GGGAUAACACUUGGAAACAGGUGCUAAUACCGCAUAACCAUAGUUACCGCAUGGUAACUAUGUAAAAGGUGGCUAUGCUACCGCUUUCGGAUGGGCCCGCGGCGCAUUAGCUAGUUGGUGGGGUAAAGGCUUACCAAGGCAAUGAUGCGUAGCCGAACUGAGAGGUUGAUCGGCCACAUUGGGACUGAGACACGGCCCAAACUCCUACGGGAGGCAGCAGUAGGGAAUCUUCCACAAUGGGCGAAAGCCUGAUGGAGCAACGCCGCGUGGGUGAAGAAGGUCUUCGGAUCGUAAAACCCUGUUGUUAGAGAAGAAAGUGCGUGAGAGUAACUGUUCACGUUUCGACGGUAUCUAACCAGAAAGCCACGGCUAACUACGUGCCAGCAGCCGCGGUAAUACGUAGGUGGCAAGCGUUAUCCGGAUUUAUUGGGCGUAAAGGGAACGCAGGCGGUCUUUUAAGUCUGAUGUGAAAGCCUUCGGCUUAACCGGAGUAGUGCAUUGGAAACUGGGAGACUUGAGUGCAGAAGAGGAGAGUGGAACUCCAUGUGUAGCGGUGAAAUGCGUAGAUAUAUGGAAGAACACCAGUGGCGAAAGCGGCUCUCUGGUCUGUAACUGACGCUGAGGUUCGAAAGCGUGGGUAGCAAACAGGAUUAGAUACCCUGGUAGUCCACGCCGUAAAC